UACAGAGGGUGCGAGCGUUGUCCGGAAUCACUGGGCGUAAAGGGCGCGUAGGCGGCUUGAUAAGCGUGCGGUGAAAGCCCGGGGCUCAACCCCGGGUCGGCCGUGCGAACUGUCGAGCUGGAGCACUGUAGAGGCAGGUGGAAUUCCGGGUGUAGCGGUGGAAUGCGCAGAUAUCAGGAAGAACACCCGUGGCGAAGGCGGCUCUCUGGAACGCAACUGACACUGAGACGCGAAAGCGUGGGGAGCAAACAGG
rnacentral:rRNA from 1 species